UACGUAGGGUGCAAGCGUUGUCCGGAAUUGUGGGGCGUAAAGAGCUCGUAGGCGGUUUGUCGCGUCUGCUGUGAAAAUCCAGGGCUUAACCCUGGACCUGCAGUGGGUACGGGCAGACUAGAGUGCGGUAGGGGAGAUCGGAAUUCCUGGUGUAGCGGUGAAAUGCGCAGAUAUCAGGAGGAACACCGGUGGCGAAGGCGGAUCUCUGGGCCGUAACUGACGCUGAGGAGCGAAAGCAUGGGGAGCGAACAGG
rnacentral:rRNA from 1 species